rnacentral:sRNA from 1 species
AGGGGCCAUGUUGAUGGGUGACCCGGGGAGAGGUACCCGGCCAGAGGCGAGUCCUGCGGAGUGGUAGCGCGCGCGGCCUGCGGUGUGACACCCAGCCCCUGCCAGUCCCCCAUGGCCCCGUGGAGCCGAGAGGCGGUGCUGAGUCUCUAUCGGGCUCUGUUGCGCCAGGGCCGACAGCUUCGCUACACUGAUCGAGACUUCUACUUUGCCUCCAUCCGCCGUGAAUUCCGAAAAAAUCAGAAGCUAGAGGACCCUGAGGCCCGGGAGAGGCAGCUGGAGAAGGGCCUGGUCUUUCUCAACGGCAAAUUGGGGAGGAUCAUUUAGGAUCCUCCAAGGGAAAGAGGACAAAGGUGCCUUCUGUAGACACUCCUGCUCUCUUCCAUCCCUGUCUUACAGAUGUAUUAAGAAGCCUCAGGUACGUAGGCCCUCGUUCCUAUAGGUUUCCUUAUUUUUUGUUGCAAGGGACCGAGAAAAGGAUCAAAGUCAUCCUUUUAGUCAUUAGAAAUCAGUGGAGAGCCAGGUGCACUGGUGUGCACCUAUAGUCCCAACUCUGCAGGAGGCUGAGGCAGGAGGAUGGCUUCAGCCCAGGAGG